rnacentral:rRNA from 1 species
UACGUAGGGUGCAAGCGUUAAUCGGAAUUACUGGGCGUAAAGCGUGCGUAGACGGUUAUCUAAGUCGGAUGUGAAAGCCCCGGGCUCAACCUGGGAACCGCGCUUGAGACUGGAGAACUAGAGUUCGGGAGAGGAUGGUGGAAUUCCCAGUGUAGAGGUGAAAUUCGUAGAUAUUGGGAAGAACACCGAUGGCGAAGGCAGCCAUCUGGACCGACACUGACGCUGAGGCGCGAAAGCGUGGGGAUCAAACAGG